GAUGAACGCUAGCUACAGGCUUAACACAUGCAAGUCGAGGGGUAACAAGAGAAAAGCUUGCUUUUCUUGUUGACGACCGGCGCACGGGUGAGUAACGCGUAUCCAACCUGCCUAUAACUAGGGAAUAACCUUGCGAAAGUAAGACUAAUGCCCUAUGAUUUCCUUUGAUGACAUCAGAUUAGGAAUAAAGAUUUAUCGGUUAUAGAUGGGGAUGCGUCUGAUUAGCUUGUUGGCGGGUAACGGCCCACCAAGGCAACGAUCAGUAGGGGUUCUGAGAGGAAGGUCCCCCACAUUGGAACUGAGACACGGUCCAAACUCCUACGGGAGGCAGCAGUGAGGAAUAUUGGUCAAUGGGCGGAAGCCUGAACCAGCCAAGUAGCGUGCAGGAUGACGGCCCUAUGGGUUGUAAACUGCUUUUAUACAGGAAUAAAGUUAGCCACGUGUGGUUAUUUGUAGGUACUGUAUGAAUAAGGACCGGCUAAUUCCGUGCCAGCAGCCGCAGUAA
rnacentral:rRNA from 1 species